AUUGAACGCUGGCGGCAUGCCUUACACAUGCAAGUCGAACGGCAGCAUAGGAGCUUGCUCCUGAUGGCGAGUGGCGAACAGGUGAGUAAUAUAUCGGAACGUGCCCUAGAGUGGGGGAUAACUAGUCGAAAGACUAGCUAAUACCGCAUACGAUCUACGGAUGAAAGUGGGGGAUCGCCAGACCUCAUGCUCCUGGAGCGGCCGAUAUCUGAUUAGCUAGUUGGUGGGGUAAAAGCCUACCAAGGCGACGAUCAGUAGCUGGUCUGAGAGGACGACCAGCCACACUGGGACUGAGACACGGCCCAGACUCCUACGGGAGGCAGCAGUGGGGAAUUUUGGACAAUGGGGGCAACCCUGAUCCAGCAAUGCCGCGUGAGUGAAGAAGGCCUUCGGGUUGUAAAGCUCUUUUGUCAGGGAAGAAACGGUAGUAGCUAAUAUCUAUUACUAAUGACGGUACCUGAAGAAUAAGCACCGGCUAACUACGUGCCAGCAGCCGCCGCCGUAA
rnacentral:rRNA from 1 species